rnacentral:rRNA from 1 species
AUUGAACGCUGGCGGCAGGCCUAACACAUGCAAGUCGAACGGUAACAGGAAGCAGCUUGCUGCUUUGCUGACGAGUGGCGGACGGGUGAGUAAUGUCUGGGAAACUGCCCGAUGGAGGGGGAUAACUACUGGAAACGGUAGCUAAUACCGCAUAACGUCGCAAGACCAAAGAGGGGGACCUUAGGGCCUCUUGCCAUCGGAUGUGCCCAGAUGGGAUUAGCUAGUAGGUGGGGUAACGGCUCACCUAGGCGACGAUCCCUAGCUGGUCUGAGAGGAUGACCAGCCACACUGGAACUGAGACACGGUCCAGACUCCUACGGGAGGCAGCAGUGGGGAAUAUUGACAAUGGGCGCAAGCCUGAUGCAGCCAUGCCGCGUGUAUGAAGAAGGCCUUCGGGUUGUAAAGUACUUUCAGCGGGGAGGAAGGGAGUAAAGUUAAUACCUUUGCUCAUUGACGUUACCCGCAGAAGAAGCACCGGCUAACUCCGUG